rnacentral:rRNA from 1 species
UACGUAGGGUGCGAGCGUUGUCCGGAAUUAUUGGGCGUAAAGAGCUCGUAGGCGGUCUGUCGCGUCGAUCGUGAAAACUUGGGGCUUAACCCUGAGCUUGCGGUCGAUACGGGCAUGACUGGAGUUCGGCAGGGGAGACUGGAAUUCCUAAUGUAGAGGUGAAAUUCGUAGAUAUUAGGAGGAACACCGGUGGCGAAGGCGGUUCUCUGGGCAUGUCCUGACGCUGGAGGAGCGAAAGUGUGGGAGCGAACAGG